ensembl:lncRNA
CCGGCAUCUCGUGUCUCCUGCACUGCCAGGCACAUUCUUUGACCAGGCAAAGUCUUUCCCAUCUGAGCCAUCAGGCAAACCCAAACAAGCAAAAAUUAGUGGAUGCAAAAAUCCUUGUGCCAUGUGUUGAAAGAACUGAGAAACAGUAAUGAAGAAAUGAGAAGAAAGGGGAAGGAUCCUUGCAUACUGGGCCAGUUCCUAGGCUCCCAUUUGCUAGAGAAUCCAGGUGAAGAGAAGAAAAAAGAAAAAAAAAGAAAAAAGUCAAUGACACUGUUGAUACACAAAACAAAGAGCUAAGAGCUGAGAAGAAAAGCAGAAAGAGCCUGAUUGACUUAGAAUCUUGUAGACCAUUUUGUGAUUACCCCAGGAGAUGGCUCGCGGGCGAGUGGCCAGAGUGCUCUGCAUCUUGGUAGUGAAGAAAUGCGCAGUCAGCAAGUGACAGGUAAGCACACAAGAGCCCACGGAACGGUGCAGCUGAUGCCUCUGAGAGGGUGUGCCCCCAGAGCCAGGCCUCUGGGAAGAAGACCCU